rnacentral:tRNA from 1 species
GGGUAUAUAGCUCAGUGGUAGAGUGCUUGCCUAGCAUGCAUUAGGCCCUGGGUUCUAACCCAAAACACCUA